UACGGAGGAUCCAAGCGUUAUCCGGAAUCAUGGGUUAAGGGUCCGUAGGCGGCUAUAGUCAGUGGUGAAGCCAUCGCUCAACGAUGGAACUGCCAUUGAUACUGUAAGGCUUGAAUUAUUGUGAAGUAACUAGAAUAUGUAGUGUAGCGGUGAAAUGCUUAGAUAUUACAUGGAAUACCAAAUUGCGAAGGCAGGUUACUAACAAUGGAUUGACGCUGAUGGACGAAAGCGUGGGGAGCGAACAGGAUUAGAUACCCGCGUAGU
rnacentral:rRNA from 1 species